UUCAUACAAUCUAAAAAGUAUUUUAAGUUAAUAAUAAUUUUAGAAAGUAAUUCCUUCAAAUAUAAUGAUGUGUACAACUUUGCUUGUAUGUGUCAAAGAAAACAAAACAGAACCUGAAGCCAACUUAUUAUGUCACUGAGAGUACAUUACACCCUAUUGUUCAAAUUCCACAGACUUGAAAUGGCAUCUUCUUAUUUAUACUUGAAUACUCAGUACCUGAGAUCUAGUAAACACCCAGUAAAUAUUUGUUUCAUGAAUAAAUUGGUAUCUCCUUCCAUAACUCUUGAAACAUUAAGCAUUCUGACCUAAUUCACAAUCUUUAGAGUGCAGCUGAGAUCACAUGUUGCUGGCCUCCAUUUGAGACAGGAAUUACAUGCAAUAGAAGUUCCUGUAUUAACACAGGAGUAAUUGAACAAAGAAUAAUAAAGCUAAGAAUGUUUGUUCCUGAGUAUUGAGUUCAGUGUGCCCUCUCACAGAAGUGCAUUUACUUGGAACACCUAUUGAUAGAAAUGAGGGCACAGCCUUCAUUUCUAGUGGAGAAGGCAGCUAUGCACUGGUAAUGGAGGGGAGAUUUAACUGUAGCACUAAAUGAACUAAAGGGGACAGAUUUGACUGUAUCACCUAAAUGAGCUAAAGGGUACAAGUACAGGUCUCCGAGGGCAUUGCAUCCCUAACCUACUCAAUUUAACAGUCCAAACUGGAGCCCUUGCUGUCACUUUAACCAAGAUAGCAGUAUCACUGUUUGCACCAAGAAUUUAUAUCUACAUGUACAUGUAACAAACUUUGUUGACGGCUGGCUUAGGUGAUGAGUGCAGAAAUUUUCACUACAUUCUUGGUGUGGUCCAAGCUUACACUUGUUGUAGGUGAACUGAUAAUUUCCUAUCCUUGGAUUGCCCUUCUCUUCCACUCUUAAAGUAUCCUGCUCCCCAUGAGGAUGGUAAAUUAUACAUCAUAUUAGUGGUGAGCCAUCUCCUUAAGGGAGAUUAACAAUGGGAAGUCAUUGAAGUAGGAAGCAAUAUUCAUUGAGGCUGUUAAAUACAUUUUCAUAUUUAAUUCUUAUGAUGGCUCUGUGGGAAGUUACUAUUAUUAUAAUGAUCUUAGUUUUAUAGAAGAAGAACAUGAAGCAAAAGGAAUAAAAGUCCACAAAUGUCUAAGAGUCAUAGACUUAAUAAAUAAAAGGGGCAAAAUUAAAUUAAAUGAGGUCUUGCUUUAAAACUUGCAACAUGUUUGAUGCUGUGCUGCCUCCUAAAUGAAAACACAGUCUUCAGGUAGAAGUGUGUGGACACACAGACACUGAUCACCCACACUUGGAUAUAUUUUCUGUCCUCCCUCUUGUCUGAUGUAGUCCUCAGCAGUACAAAUACCCAACAAACUGAAUGAAUUAAUGAGUCCAUAAAUCCUCAGUAUUUUGAUGAAAACUGAUACAAAACAACAUGAUCAAGUUUGGCUGGGUGAGCAGAGUGGGAAGACGCAGGCAUGAAUAAAUAACACAUAGUAGAACAAUGUGUGGGAUUUCAGUCAGGAAACUGGCCCUGUAUCUUCCAUGUUCUAGGCUCUGUGGUGGGCUUUUCCCUUGAGCCUCAUAAUACUACACAUGCACCUCAGUGCUCUGAAUUUCAUCAGAUAUGUGUAUAACCAAUUGCUUUCUAAUUACUUGUUCUCUAUUUUUCUUUACCAACACCAAGCACACAGAAAAACACAUCCAUUAUCUCUUUACAUUUUCCUCAGUUGGUGUUGGUGAGGUUUCAUGAAUUUAAAAUAUGUAAAUUAACUAAUCAUAAGCCCUUUAUUUCUCUGUAUGUAGAAAAUCUCUGGAUAGAUUUUAAUGUCAUCAGUCCCAGAAAUCUAUUUAUGUGGCCUUGGUGAGUGCUUAUGAAGAGUUUGACCUGGUUACUAAUAGUCCAUUUAGCUGAUGUCCUCUUCACAGCUCUUUUUCCACAUUCCCUGAAGUGCUUAAGCUUAAGGUCUUACUCAGGAAACGGGAGUACUGAAGGGAAAACAAAUAAGCACUCUGGAGACUUUUGCUUAUCCUGACUGAAAUGGUGAGGACUCAGGAUUGAUGCUAAUCCUGAAAACCUGAGUUCAAUUCCUGGGACCCACAUGGAAAAAAAAA